rnacentral:rRNA from 1 species
AGAGCGAACGCUGGCGGCAGGCUUAACACAUGCAAGUCGAGCGGGCGUAGCAAUACGUCAGCGGCAGACGGGUGAGUAACGCGUGGGAACGUACCUUUGGUUCGGAACAACCCAGGGAAACUUGGGCUAAUACCGGAUAAGCCCUUACGGGGAAAGAUUUAUCGCCGAAAGAUCGGCCCGCGUCUGAUUAGCUAGUUGGUGAGGUAAUGGCUCACCAAGGCGACGAUCAGUAGCUGGUCUGAGAGGAUGAUCAGCCACAUUGGGACUGAGACACGGCCCAAACUCCUACGGGAGGCAGCAGUGGGGAAUAUUGGACAAUGGGCGCAAGCCUGAUCCAGCCAUGCCGCGUGAGUGAUGAAGGCCCUAGGGUUGUAAAGCUCUUUUGUGCGGGAAGAUAAAUGACGGUACCGCAAGAAUAAAGCCCCGGCUAACUUCGUGCCAGCAGCCGC